rnacentral:rRNA from 1 species
UGAGGAAUAUUGGUCAAUGGGCGCAAGCCUGAACCAGCCAUGCCGCGUGAAGGAUGAAGGCGUUCUGCGUCGUAAACUUCUUUUAUCUGGGAAGAAACCUGAGUUUUCUAAUUCAGCCGACGGUACCAGAGGAAUAAGCACCGGCUAACUCCGUGCCAGCAGCCGCGGUAAUACGGAGGGUGCGAGCGUUAUCCGGAUUUACUGGGUUUAAAGGGUGUGUAGGCGGGCUAUUAAGUCAGUGGUGAAAUCCCGGGGCUCAACCCCGGAACUGCCAAUGAUACUAUUAGUCUUGAAUACUGUGGAGGUGAGCGGAAUGUGUCAUGUAGCGGUGAAAUGCAUAGAGAUGACACAGAACACCGAUUGCGAAGGCAGCUCACUACGCAGUUAUUGACGCUGAGGCACGAAAGCGUGGGGAUCAAACAG